GAUGAACGCUGGCGGCGUGCCUAAUACAUGCAAGUCGAGCGAACAGAUAAGGAGCUUGCUCCUUUGACGUUAGCGGCGGACGGGUGAGUAACACGUGGGUAACCUACCUAUAAGACUGGAAUAACUCCGGGAAACCGGGGCUAAUGCAGGAUAACAUGUUGAACCGCAUGGUUCUACAGUGAAAGGCGGCUUUGCUGUCACUUAUAGAUGGACCCGCGCCGUAUUAGCUAGUUGGUGAGGUAACGGCUCACCAAGGCAACGAUACGUAGCCGACCUGAGAGGGUGAGCGGCCACACUGGAACUGAGACACGGUCCAGACUCCUACGGGAGGCAGCAGUAGGGAAUCUUCCGCAAUGGGCGAAAGCCUGACGGAGCAACGCCGCGUGAGUGAUGAAGGUCUUCGGAUCGUAAAACUCUGUUAUUAGGGAAGAACAAAUGCGUAAGUAACUGUGCGCGUCUUGACGGUACCUAAUCAGAAAGCCACGGCUAACUACGUG
rnacentral:rRNA from 1 species